rnacentral:rRNA from 1 species
GCGGAGUGGCGGACGGGUGAGUAACACGUGGGGAACCUAUCCAUUAGCGGGGGAUAACACUUGGAAACAGGUGCUAAUACCGCAUACGGUUUUUUUUUCACCUGAAAGAAAGCUCAGAGGCGCUUUAUAGCGUCACUGAUGGCUGGUCCCGCGGUGCAUUAGCCAGUUGGUGAGGUAACGGCUCACCAAAGCAACGAUGCAUAGCCGACCUGAGAGGGUGAUCGGCCACACUGGGACUGAGACACGGCCCACACUCCUACGGGAGGCAGCAGUAGGGAAUCUUCGGCAAUGGACGCAAGUCUGACCGAGCAACGCCGCGUGAGUGAAGAAGGUUUUCGGAUCGUAAAGCUCUGUUGUCAGCAAAGAACAGGAGAAAGAGGCAAUGCUUUUUCUAUGACGGUAGCUGACCAGAAAGCCACGGCUAACUACGUGCCAGCAGCCGCGGUAAUACGUAGGUGGCAAGCGUUGUCCGGAUUUAUUGGGCGUAAAGCGAGCGCAGGCGGUGAUUUAAGUCUGAUGUGAACGCCCCCAGCUCAACUGGGGAGGGUCAUUGGAAACUGGAUCACUUGAGUG